rnacentral:pre_miRNA from 1 species
GAUUUCAACUAAAAAAAGUCAUCAACAACAAAGUUGUAUAACUCACCAAGAUCUAUAACUUUUAUGUUUAUCAUUUCUUCAUCCGACAAAGUGUUAUUAACAUUGUUCACAAAAUUUACAUAUUUGUGUUAUAGUUUGUAAAACCAUAUGAGAGAUAUGUGAAUUUUGUGAACAAUAUUACUAUCACUUUGUCGGAUGAAGAAAUGACCAAAAUUAAAGUUAUAGAUCUUGAUAAGUUAUAUAACUUUGUAUUUGAUGACUUUUUCAGUUGAAAUC